rnacentral:lncRNA from 1 species
GUUUCUUCCUAAGCUGAGUGAAUCUGGACACUUUCUAACUUGGAACAAAUCACACAGACAAAAUGAAGAUAAAAUGCCCCCAUCCAGGAAGUGUCUGUCCACUGCAAGAAAUUUGAAGUAACAAAAUGGCCUCCUUAAUCAGGAAUCAGUUUCCAUCACAUUCUUGGGAGCUAAGCACCCAGUUUUAGUCUCCAGACUGCUGAGCUCCUCAACAGAUCUUCAUGACUGCCUGGCUUUUAUGUGGAUUCUAGAGAUAACCCAAACUGGCAUCUCCCUGCUUGUGUGACAAGAAUUUGACAACUCCCCAGCCCAGCUAUUAGACUUUUAAAGUUCAUUUUCUUUGGUUCCCAUUUACAUGGUACACUGGCAAGC